UGAGUUCAAGAGUACGUGAACCGUUCAGGGGUAAACCUGAGAAACCCGAAAGGUCGAAUGGGGAAAUUCAUUCGCGUUUCGACAUCGGGGUAGAAUGAUUAUUGCGACGGAUAGUGGAACUUUUGUUUCGCUGCUGCGCUUUUCGUUUGUCUUGCCGUUGUCGAACGCGUGCACUUUUCCCCUAGUAGGACGUCGCGAUCCGUUGGGUGUUUGUCUAAAAGUCGGAGUGGUGCCCGCGGGACAUUUACACGUCCCGCGGACCUUCGAUAUUUCGGCAAACUCGCUCGACGGUAUACUAAAGGCGCGAGGCCGCUUAAUGAAUAAGCGUUCGGCCCGUAGCAAGCACGUACCGUUUUGACGGCGAUCGGACCUAGUGCCGAUUCUGUCGCGGGACGACUGUUGGUUUACGGUGUUCUCGAACAGACCUCGUUGAAACGCCAAUCGGCGACGCUAUAGCUUUGGGU
rnacentral:rRNA from 1 species